AGAAGUCAAGAAUCACCAUGAGAUUGCAAACCUAGGAGAAUGGUAGAAUAGUGAUGCCAUUCAUAGAAAUGACAUGGACAGAAGAGGAAUGGGGUUAGGGGAAAAUAUGAGUUAUAUUUUGUACAUGUUGUGCUUGAGAUGCCUAUGAGACAUCCAAAAGGAGAUUUCCACAAGGCAUUUGGCGAUAUGGGUAGUAUAUGUGAAAGAUUAUCUAAAGAUGCAUAAUUUGGAAGUCAUUGGCAUCAAAAUGAAUUCACCAGUGACAGAAGCCAGUUGUCUCUGGCAAAUGCCAUUAGGUCAUUUUUUAGUGUUUUACUCACUGAAUUAUCCUUACUUCCUAUAUGGAGAGAAGAAUAUACAAGAGCAAAAGGAUAAAAGGAAAAGAUCUUCACUUUUCUGAUGUUUCCAAUGGACAUCUGGAAAACAAAAGAAAAUGCAAAGGGGAAAAUCUAUUAUGUCUAUUAAGAAAACCUGUUUUCAUCUUUACUUAGAGAAUGUUGAUGCAGCAUUUGUUGACAUUCAUGAAUUCUGUCAAUAUUCCAGUUAUCACUGAACUGUUUGUAUAUGAGUUUAUCUGAUGAGAAAAUAACCUAUUCCUGUUUAUAGAAUCCAAGCCUCCCUCCCAGAUCCAUGUUCAAGUUGCUCUGGAUUCUUUGAGUUGAUGUCAGUCUUAAACAACAAAUCAGAACAUCAGUAGUCUAUUACUUCAAAUUUUGAAUAGCAUUAUAUACACAUUGGUCAGGAUAAAUCUCUGAAUACAAACUCAUGCAGUACUUUAAAAAGUCAUCUCUUUCCCCUGCUUUAAGCUUGCAUUGUAUUUAGACUAAUAGUCCUGAAGUCUCAGACUUGCUCUAUGAGUAUAUUCUAUGGGACUCAUUUUUCUUACUUAUAAGAUGAGAACCUCAAAUGUUCCUAUCAAUACUUAAAUAAUCAUGACCUUUCCCAAGAUGUAAAAUGACAUAUUACUACCACUUUCCCAUCUGUCUCCUUUAUCUUAGUUUUGCCCUUAUGCACAGAAUUAAAGUUCAUUAAUUUCUACGGUGUGCUUACAUCUACGAAUCUUUCAGUGUUAUGAUAGGAAAUCAUUUAAGCUUCUUUGUAUAUUUUCCCCUAAACCUAGAAUGAUUCCAGAAAUAAGACUGCGAUUCCUCAGGUUGAACUUGUUUGCUCAUUUUUGGUUUUGCAAAAUGUCUCAAUCCAAGAAAGUAAAAAAAACUAAAAGGAAAUGGAUGAUGGUAAGUUUUCAUCAUGGUAAAUUUAUUAGCUAACUUUAAUUAUGUGUAUUUUCACAUUCUAACCACUGAAUGAUGAGACUAUUUGGAACCUCAAUUGUAAGCAAGAAAACUAGAGAAACCCAUAUGGUGAUUUGACAAAGCUCCAAGGACAAGAAUUCAACAAAA
rnacentral:lncRNA from 1 species